rnacentral:lncRNA from 1 species
AAAUUUUCGAGUUUUAUACGAGUUUUGAUGCGUCAUCACGCUUUGGAUAUAGUCACAAAAAAAAAACAAAAAUAAGAUUAAGAAAGUUUGAUCAUUUAUCUUGGGGCUGUUUUCAAUAAAUAUUUUAAUAUGUCCACGUACAUCAGUAAAAUCUUUGUCUCUGCAAAGGAUGUUUCAUAAAAUGUUGCUUUUGGGAAUCUUUUGAUGCUUCAGUACUACGAGGAUAUAGCAAUUUAACCAUUUAUAAAAAUGUUCAAGAUACAACUAUAUCUUGUACUUGUGCUUGCUUACACCAAUUUAUUACAAUUCAUACAGUAAUACACCAAAAAAAAUUCUAUAAAACUGAGAGUUACUGACAAUUUUCCGUACAAAACUAUAUUUUUUAUCUAUGAAAGUAUAAUCCAAAUUCAAAUAAAACAUAUUUAAUAAUGAAGGUGAUAUUGUUAUAAAGCUUGAAAAAAAAAAUUGGUCUAUUUAAAAGUAAAACAAUAUUUUAAAAUAUUUUUUGUUUGCAAUGCAAAAAUCAAUAUAAAUCUUGUGACGCGCGGUGUUCAACUUUAGUCAGCGCCAAGCGCUUAUCGAGGGAGGACGUAUCGCUCGCUGUUGCGCCGCGCAAACUCGCCGGAGCUCGAAAAAUAUAGCGCAACCUGCGCAACGAACUCGUUUUGAUACUAGAUAAUGAAAGCAUAUUUAAUUCAGAUUAUCAGACUCAAUCGGAUACCAGUACAAAUAAUAUGGAAAAUGAAGAUACAAUACAUGGAAAACGAAUUAUAGAUUUUAGUUUUUUUAUAAAUCAAUUACUUAUACCUAAUUGAUAAACAUGGUGAAAAGUUUGGUUGUCGAUUAAAUAAUUUAAAAAUUGUAAA